ACGGCCAUACCAUGCUGAAUAUACCGGUUCUCGUUAGAUCACCGAAGUCAAGCAUCAUUUCUGUACCCAGGUGGGUGACCACCUGGGACACCGCGUGCCGUU